UACAGAGGUCUCAAGCGUUGUUCGGAUUCAUUGGGCGUAAAGGGUGCGUAGGCGGCGCGGUAAGUCGGGUGUGAAAUCUCGGAGCUUAACUCCGAAACUGCAUUCGAUACUGCCGUGCUUGAGGACUGGAGAGGAGACUGGAAUUUACGGUGUAGCGGUGAAAUGCGCAGAUAUCAGGAGGAACACCAAUGGCGAAGGCAGCUCGCUGGGACGGUACUGACGCUGGAGACGCGAAAGCGUGGGGAGCAAACAGG
rnacentral:rRNA from 1 species